CUGAACAGAAUGUAGAUCGGAGUGGGAAACCGGGUACUACCACUGCUCGAGGUAGACCAUCUGGAAAUACGGGCAAGGCUAGUGGUGGUCAGAGAGGAUCUAGAGAUGCUGCGACCAGAUCCGAGGCUCGCGCUCCAGCUAGGACUUAUGCUAUACGCGCACGCGAGGAUGCCUCCUCGCCAGAUGUUAUUACGGCUCAAGAGCAAAGGGGAGCUAAAUCCGAUAAAGGGAAGGAAAAAGUAGUUGAAUAGCCGUCGAAAUCGCUCGACAACAUCCAAGGUUUCGCUCGUUAGCUA